rnacentral:rRNA from 1 species
GGCUUUGAAGCGUGGACGCCAGUCUGCGUGGAGCCAUCCUUGAAAUACCACCCUGGCAUGCUUGAGGUUCUAACUCUGGUCCGUCAUCCGGAUCGAGGACAGUGUAUGGUGGGCAGUUUGACUGGGGCGGUCUCCUCCUAAAGAGUAACGGAGGAGUACGAAGGUGCGCUCAGACCGGUCGGAAAUCGGUCGUAGAGUAUAAAGGCAAA